GCCCAGCCCUAAACUUUGAUGGCACCCUACACCCGCCAUCCGCCAGGGAACUACGAGCAUUAGCUUAAAACCCAAAGGACUUGGCGGUGCUUUAGACCCACCUAGAGGAGCCUGUUCUAGAACCGAUAAUCCCCGUUAAACCUCACCUUCUCUUGUCAUUCCCGCCUAUAUACCGCCGUCGUCAGCUUACCCUGUGAAGGUACUAUAGUAAGCAAAACUAGUAAAACCCAAAACGCCAGGUCGAGGUGUAGCAUAUGAGAAGGAAAGAAAUGGGCUACAUUCCCUAUUUUAGGGAACACGGAUAAUGUGAUGAAAAGCACAUUAGAAGGAGGAUUUAGCAGUAAGCAAAAAAUAGAGCGUUUUGCUGAAACUGGCCCUGAAGCGCGC
rnacentral:rRNA from 1 species